UUGAUCAGGUCCCCGCGCACCGCGUCCUCAUCCUCCUGCCCCUCCUGCUGCUGGAAGCUUGAUGAGCGGGCCCGCGGGUCUUCACAGCCGAGAUCUCCAGCAUGGGGAGGGCAAGGAUUGAGAUCAAGAGGAUCGAGAACAACACGAGCCGGCAGGUCACCUUCUGCAAGCGUCGCAACGGGCUUCUCAAGAAGGCUUACGAGCUCUCAGUCCUCUGCGACGCUGAGGUGGCGCUCAUCGUCUUCUCCAGCAGGGGCCGCCUCUACGAGUACUCAAACAACAGGUCACAGGGACGCCCAUGGAUUUGUUGUUACCAACAAAGGAGCUCUAAUAGUGAGUGCAUCAUCUCAGCACCCAUUUACUGCCCAUCAAGCAUCGUUUGGUGAAUUGAACUAAAUUUCUUUUAAUUAACUGAACUAUCAUGCUGCUCUUACUGAAAUAUUAGAUAUUUCAGAAAAUAUCAAUGAGAAAAAAAAAUACUUACCUAAAGUUUCAAGAGUUUGUAUAGCUGAAAGUUGCUCUGCAGAUGCUGUCUUGAAAUAAGAGUAGUAGUACUUCCCUGUGAAAAAUGUGUUAUGCCAAGAGUUUUAUCUGCUGAUAUGCAGUUCCUGAAACGUAAAGCUCUUAUUACUUCUGCUUAUCAGCACUAAGCUCUUGUACAUUUGAUUUAAUCAACCAACCUUUAAUUUUAGUCUUCAUAGGAUUACCGUUUGCAAUAAAAACAAAUACAAUAGCAUCUUCCUUCCAUCAUUUGUUUGACAUCUAAAUCCAUUACUACAGCCCAGUCGCAUGUAGCUAACAUGAACCUUGUAGCAGUAAUAUUGUAGUGACAGCUAAAAAUAACUUUAAGUAUGAAACAGCAAAUUGUUAACAUAGUCUUCCACCAUUUAGAAACAACAGUCUCGUCCAUGAGCAACAUGGCAUAAUUGUCGCUCAGACAUUCCACUGUCCCCAGGAAAAAAAGUAGAAGAAAAUAAUUUCAGAAUUAAUUGUAACUUGCAGAGCCAAGUAAGACCAGCUAAACUGACAGUAGUAGUCAUCUGCCCCCGAAAGUGAGGCUCCACCAGUGAACACGACAUCUGCCCCUUCACUUAUCAUUCAACAAUCACCAUAUGGUCAGCUAACUAACACACCUUUGGUUCGCAUACUUAUAUUCUGGCUGUCCAAAUGUAUCACUUUAAACAACUCCAAGCUAUAAAAAAAAUGCAACUAUCAUGCCCUUAUUUGUGGGCAAUUAGGCAAACUAUUUUUUGCUGCACACUAUAGAUUGCUUCAUGCCCUUCUGAACUCGCACUAUGAUAGUAUACUAUGUUGCAUACUCUUUAUAUAUUUAGAAUUCAGUAAAUUGUUUUUUUUGGCCUGAUCCUAACUCAAAUAUUUCUCUGUAUAACCUUUCAAUACUGUGUACAAAGCACACUCAUAUAUACAAAUUUGAUACUACAAUCACUUCUCAUCAACAAAGGAAUUAAAUUGCAUACAGCAAAUUUAAAGUAGGAUCACCUUGUACACCAUACUGCAUUCUGCACACUGCAUGCAUUUGUAAAUAAAAAAAUUGCGGAUAUUGCCUUUGACAGUUCAUGUCUAAUUUCUGAAUCAUGAGGCCAAAUUCAGAUGCUAGACUACUUUGUUUCCAAGCAAGAAGUGACAAGCCUUCCGUAGCCAUUGGUGGAAACGACUAUCAAGCAUCUUGUCAGCUGCAUUAGUACCAUUACACGAUAGCAUCGAAAUCUACAUUAUCUACCUCCUGUAGUACCAUCUGCCCAGCGUUACCCAAAUCACCUAUGCUGCCACUAAGCGUGGUCACCACUGCCCAAGCAAUGUAGCUACUUCCUUUUUUAGUUCUCUUCCCCUUCGGUCGUACUGACUCUGUUAUAAUGAACCAUAUGCUGUAUAAUAUCUAGAUGUAUUAUUGGUUGCCUACAA